GAUGAACGCUAGCGGCAGGCUUAACACAUGCAAGUCGAGGGGUAAGUCAUUUCGGUGACUGAGACCGGCGCACGGGUGCGUAACGCGUAUGUAAUCUACCUUUUACAGGGGGAUGGCCCAGAGAAAUUUGGAUUAAUACCCCAUAGUAUUAUUGAAUGGCAUCAUUUAAUAAUUAAAGUUCCAACGGUAAAAGAUGAGCAUGCGUCCCAUUAGCUAGAUGGUAAGGUAACGGCUUACCAUGGCGACGAUGGGUAGGGGUCCUGAGAGGGAGAUCCCCCACACUGGUACUGAGACACGGACCAGACUCCUACGGGAGGCAGCAGUGAGGAAUAUUGGUCAAUGGGCGCAAGCCUGAACCAGCCAUGCCGCGUGCAGGAUGACGGUCCUAUGGAUUGUAAACUGCUUUUGUACGGGAAGAAACACUCCUACGUGUAGGAACUUGACGGUACCGUAAGAAUAAGGAUCGGCUAACUCCGUGCCAGCCGCCGCCGUAAUAC
rnacentral:rRNA from 1 species